CAGGCGGCAAGGGAGUCUGGGAAGUCCAGCUCUGCAAGCUCCUGCCCAUGAAGUACCAAAGAGGGUAGAGAAAAAUGAAGGAGGAGCCAAGAGACAACACACUCCAGCACACGUCUCGUUGUCUUCCCUCUCCUUGAUAAUCUGCUUUAUUUCCUGAAGCUUGUCCACAAUCAAGCCGGUGAAGGAGAGAGUGAAUUAAACUGAGAGAAAGAAGAGGAUAUAAGAUGGUGGCAACAACAACAACAAAAUCCAAUUAAAAUGGUGGGAUUCAUGGAAUGGGGGUUAGGUUCAGCUUGCUACUUAUUUCAAGAUCUAUUUAUCCUAGGAGAAUUUCAAAUGCCCUGAAGUCUCAUGGUUAUCAUGGUAUGACACUGAUAUGUUGUCGUAUGGCUGGUGGUGGCUGUGAGCGCAUCGCCCGGAAACUGAUAAGCCGGAAGGCUACAGAAGUUUCAAGGAAGUAAGUCCGAAGUCUUGCAAAGAAGGCGGCUAUCAGGCCUGGAUCUCUCCUCGUGGCAGCUGUAGGAAACACAGGAACUCUGUGACCUGGAAAAUGUGGGACAACUGCCACAAGGUGACCCUGGAAGGCUGGGGUUGAUUGCCUGCUUGGAUCACCCCGCCUUUCCUCCACUGCCCUGCACACCAUCAGAAG